ensembl:lncRNA
UUUGCCAGAUUUAAUCAUUCAGGCAUUGGGUUUUCUCUCAAGAAGACAUCAUGAGAGUUUUGGUCAUCUCUCAAAAAUUCAUCAUAUUCCCUGAAUUUUUAACAUGUUUGAAAAACAUUUGUUCGUUGAAUGGAAAAAUAGCUGGACAUAAUAUUCUUUUCUUCAAGAUCUGGUUAACAUAUCUUAUCUUCUAAUACUGGCUGCCGCUGGGAGGAUGUUGGAGACCAGCCGAUCUGUCUUUUCUGAAUGGAGCCCUAGGGAACAGCGAGCCCGGGUGAUACUUUUCUGUCUCCUCUGGUAUGCAGCAAUGAGCCAUGGCAUGAAGUCAGACUGGAAAGAUUUAUGCUGCAGCUGAAAUUUUGCAUGCCUUUAAACUUGGGGAAUUCCUUUCUUAGAUAAACUAAUCUGAACAGCAGUUCGGAGGACCGCGAUAAUUGGGACACAUGAUACGCAGAGGUUUGCAAAAGCCAGGCUGAGAGUGUUGGGAGAAGAAAAGGACAAGAUGGAAGAGCAGAGGGAAGAGGUGCUCAGAGGGCGCGGUCCCCCGGCAGUACCCCAUGCACUGGCAAGGAGCUCCGCUGGGGAAGCCAGAAGCUUAAUCAAGUCCCGAAGUAAAUGGAACCAUGGGCAGUCUACCAGAUUAGAAUUUCCUCCGUUAUUUCCUUCUACAAAGAACUUUUGUAACCAUUAGAGAAACAAAAGCACGUUUACAUCCAUCAAUUUCCAUUACUCAAACUUCCCUGCAUUGUAUCUAUUGACAAAGUAUUCACAGAUUAAAUACGAUGCGGGCAAAUAUCAGUAAGUGGCUGCAAAGUUUAAAUAACAGCAACAGUGUAAUAUAAGGUAACACUAAUUUGAUCUGAUCCACCUGUCCACGCCAAGAACUCCAAAGUAAUUGCCAUUUUACAAUCCCUGCACCUGGAUUCUGUAUUAAAUUUCAGGUGGACUUUUAUAUAAAUUUCACAUUAAUUUAAUACCAAAACUGUGAAAUGAAUUCACCCUAAAUGCACCAUGUGGACUCAGGGAAGUUAGAUGCUUUGAUAUGAUAGUUUCAGUUAUAUAUGAUAAAAGGAAGUUUAGAGCUAUUGUAUUUCCGUGUUUAUUCUCCAGUUAGUGAUAUAAAAUUUUAAUGUUCACAUAAUCUUCCCAAAGGAAACUUCAAUUUCUCUACAUGGCAUUAUGAUAGUUGCGGCACCAUUUAAAAAAUAAUGGUAGUUGUACCUGUGAUUUAUGGAUUUGAGUGCGCCAUAUGAUAUAUAUGGCAUUAAUUGAGCAAGAUGAAAUCCAGAAGCAGUCAAAUGCUCAUCUUCCCAUCUCGGCACAAAAAUCCGGAAUUCUGAUCUGCCAGAAACAUUAUUUAUUAGCACAUUAGAUGCCUCAUGCUCUGAAAUGCUCAAAACUCUGUCAGCACUUUCUGCUUAAAUCUUUGAUGCUCCAGUCAACUUUUCCUCUUUCCUUUCCCCGUUUUUCUGUUUCUCAUUCUCUCUCACACACACACACUGACACGGCUUAUACUUCUUGUCUCGGUUUGCAACGCAUUUGCUUUUGUACGUUUGAAUGCUCAAGGGAAUU